rnacentral:lncRNA from 1 species
AGAGAGUGUUUCCGGAGCGCCUACUGUGUGCUCCUCCAUGGGGGUGGGGGCACUACCAGGCACAAAGGGUGCCAGUCCCCGUACCUUUGUAAGUUCGCCUCCUCCUCUGGGAGCUUGCCCUUGUGGGGAUGGGGAAACUGAGGCUCAGUCGGCUCAGAGUAACUCCCAGGUGCUAAAGGACCAGUUGUUUUGUCCGCUCAUAAGGCAAACGGCGCGGCGAAGACCACUUGGGAUAAAACCCCAAGCCUAGCGCAGAUGGUCGGCCAGGGGAGCCUCUGGUGGGCAGUCACAAGCCCACGGAUUCCACCAGUGACCCCAGGCCUGCUCACAUGAGUGACGCGUUCCUCCCCAUGGCCAGCAGCAGAGCGGACUGAAUGCUGGGUGACAGGCUGGCCUCAGACUCCGGUGCUCAAGGAUAUUCUUGCUUCAGGUUCCCAAAUAGCACUGCACACUGCACACGUGAAUCCCCAUGCCUGAUGCUUGUUUGAAGGCCCUAGAACUGGUCAGAAAGGAUCUGAGAACAGCUGAAGGAAACAUACAAGCCAGGGGCCACUGUGGUGCCUCAUAAAUUUCAAAUAGGGGAUCCCGUCCUGGUCCAGCGCCACUGAUCCAGCAACCUUGAACCCAGAUGGAAGGGACCCUACCUGGUGCUACUGACAAGCCCCACUGCCAUCAAAGUUGACAGCAUCCCAGCUUGGAUCCAUGCAUCCCACAUAAAAUUGGCCCCUCCUGCAGCUCGAGAUGACUCCUGGAAGCUGGACUGGACUGAUGAUCCUCUUAAGCUACACUUACGUCACUUGCGCCUCACUGAAAGCUAAAAACCCCCAUCAGCCUAUGACUCUUACCUGGCAGGACAAUCACAAACUGGGGACACUGUUUGGUCUACCACCAAGGUUGCCCCCCUAGGAACUUGGUGGCCCCCUUUGUUUCCUGAAAUUUGCUCCCUGAUAGCAGGAUUAGACUUUUGGGACAUUACUGCACUAACUCAUGAGGAAAUACCCUCGGAAGAAGUGCAUUUACAAAAGCGGUCCCUUCACCAAGGAGUAGUUAGGCCAACACAUAGCCGAUCGCCUGGGAUGUAAAGAUAGACCCACACAGGAAAAACUACGGCAGACCUCCUUUUAUGUUUGUCCCAGAGAUGGCAGAUCUAGGUCGGAGAUACAUAGGUGUGGAGGACUAGAAUAUUUUUAUUGCAAACAAUGGGGAUGUGAGACUUCCAGAGAUACCAAUUGGAAUCCCACAUCCUCAUGAGACUUGAUCACUGUCUCCAGGAGAAAUAAAGGCUUAGAUUCUCUCAAUAUCACCUUUACAGAUCCAGGGAAGCAGUUUACUGAUUGGCCUAAGGGACGUACCUGGGGGCUCAGAUUUUACAUGCAAGGAUGGGACAAUGGCUUCAUUUUCCACAUUAAUCUCAGGAUUGAGAGCCCUCCCACUAUUCUUACUGGGCCAGGCAAAGUACAGGAGUCUCCUCCCCGAUGAGUACUACCACCACCCCCUCCUCCCAUGAUUCCUGAGGCCCAACCCCAGGGGACGAUCGUUCCCAGUGCAGAAACCUCCACCCUGCCUCCUACUACUGGUGAAAGACUCUUUGGUCUCAUUCAAGGGGCUUUUAAGGCUCUCAAUGUUACAAAUCCUAAAGCUGCGACUUCAUGUUGGCUCUGUUUGGCAGCUGGGCCCCCUUAUUAUGAAGGAGAGGCAGCAGAUGGAUCAAUUACUAUGACUUCAGAUGCAAGCCUCUGCCCCUGGGGGCAAUCUAAGAAAAGUCUCACCUUAGCCGAAAUUUCAGGAUCAGGGAAAUGUACAGGGGUUGUACCUCCUUCUCAUAGACACCUCUGCAACCAUACCUGGACUAUUCCUGCUUCUUCUAAAAACCAAUAUCUUUGGCCUGGCAACCAUUAUUGGUGGGCUUGCAGCUCCAGAUUGACUCCCUGUGUUGCUACUGCUGUUUUUGAUCAGUCAAAAGAUUUUUGCGUGUUAACACAAUUAGUCCCUAGGAUAUACUACCACCCUGACAACAAGGUCCUAGACGCUUACGAUUUCAAAAAUACCAGAAAGAAGAGAGAGCCUAUCUCCCUCACCCUCACAAUUGUCAUGGGUUUGAGACUAACAGCUAGAAUUGGUAAGGGGACCGCUACCUUGGUAACUGGAGCCCAACAACUGAAACAAGGUCUAGAAGGACUGCAGGCAGCAAUGACAGUAGACAUUAAGGCUUUAGAAAAGUCAGUUAGUCAGUUAGAAGAGUCUUUGACCUCAACUCUCUGAAGUAGUCUUACAGAAGAGGCUUAGAUCUAUUAUUCCUCAAAGAAGGAGGACUAUGUGCAGCCCUAAAGGAAGAAUGCUGCUUCUAUAUUAACCAUUCAGGAGCAAUUAGAGACUCUAUGGCCAAACUCAAAGAAAGGUUAGAAAAACGAAAACGAGAGUGAGAAGCUAAUGAAGCAUGGUUUGAAGGUUGGUUCACAAAAUCCCAUGGAUGACUACUUUACUAUCUGUCCUCAUGGGCCCCAUAUUAGUUUUGCUUCUUUUAUUUACUACAGGCCCCUGCCUAAUUAACAAGAUAAUGGCUUUCGUCAGACAGUGGGUCAGUGCUGUACAGGUUCUUAUGCUGCGCCAACAAUAUCAAAAAGUAGAACAGGCUGAUACAUGCUGUACUGAGUCAGAGGUUUUAUUUUUCUAGUUCUAGGAUUAGAACUAUUUACUAGAAGGAGUGGGGAAUGUAAGACCCCAACUCAAUGUGUUUCUUAGAUCCCUAGAAACGAAGCCCAGCAUGGAAUUCUUUGUUCUUUCACCUUCAGCCUGAGAGAAAGAUGACCACUGGGUGACCCACCCAGGCUCCUGACCCAUAGUGUAAGGGACCAAGAAUGUUUGCCGAAGAUAGCCUGUAACCUUUCUGUGAGAGAUGAGCUAUAAUUCACCAUCCCCAUUUUUACGAUGUUUACUCAGCUUCCCCAUUUUCUGUGUUCUUAUCCUCCCCUCACUUUACGGUUUAUUCUUUAAAAACCCUCAACUGCAACUGCUGGGGGUCAAUCUCCUCUGCCCCUGUGCGGGUUACGAGCUUGGCCUCAGCAUGCUGAUUCCUGAAUAAACUUCAUGCGAUAUUGCAUCAAGAA